GCUAGUAAUCGUGGAUCAGAAUGCCACGGUGAAUACGUUCCCGGGCCUUGUACACACCGCCCGUCACACCAUGGGAGUGGGUUGCAAAAGAAGUAGGUAGCUUAACCUUCGGGAGGGCGCUUACCACUUUGUGAUUCAUGACUGGGGUGAAGUCGUAACAAGGUAACCGUAGGGGAACCUGCGGUUGGAUCACCUCCUUACCUGAAAGAAGC
rnacentral:rRNA from 1 species